rnacentral:tRNA from 1 species
AAAAAAUUAGUUAAAAUAUAACAUUAGUAUGUCAAACUAAAAUUACUGAACUCCUCAGUAUUUUUUG